UACGUAGGGCGCAAGCGUUAUCCGGAAUUAUUGGGCGUAAAGAGCUCGUAGGCGGUUUGUCGCGUCUGCCGUGAAAGUCCGGGGCUCAACUCCGGAUCUGCGGUGGGUACGGGCAGACUAGAGUGAUGUAGGGGAGACUGGAAUUCCUGGUGUAGCGGUGAAAUGCGCAGAUAUCAGGAGGAACACCGGUAGCGAAGGCGGGUCUCUGGGCAGUAACUGACGCUGAGGAGCGAAAGCUGGGGAGCGAACAGG
rnacentral:rRNA from 1 species